rnacentral:misc_RNA from 1 species
CAAAUCUUGAAUGCCUUCUUGUACUCAUUCCCCUUCAUACACAGUUUCGUCUAAAUUAUUUAUUUGGCAAAAUGUUAUCUGCAUCAUUUCAUAGUCAUCAAACAUUAUAUUUCCUGGGAAUUUGCGGUCAAUGUAUGAAUUUGUUACAAAUUCGCAGGUCCAGUUAUCGUGGCGCCCCCUUCAGCAAGUUUGCCAGCUGAUAAUGCAGAAACUUCACCCACGCCGUUAAGUCUGACACGG